rnacentral:rRNA from 1 species
UAGGGAAUCUACCGCAAUGGGCGAAAGCCUGACGGAGCGACACCGCGUGGUGGAUGAAGCUUUUCGGAGUGUAAACACCUUUUCUCAGGGAAGAAAAUCUGACGGUACCUGAGGAAUAAGCACCGGCUAAUUACGUGCCAGCAGCCGCGGUAAUACGUAAGGUGCAAGCGUUAUCCGGAAUCAUUGGGCGUAAAGCGUCCGUAGGUGGCGUAACAAGUCGAUUAUAAAAUACCGGGGCUCAACUCCGGUGCCGUAGUCGAAACUGUUAUGCUAGAGGGAUGGAGAGGUAUGUGGAAUGAUGCAAGUAGGGGUAAAAUCCGUAGAUAUGCACCAGAACACCAAAAGCGAAGGCAGCAUACUGGACAUCACCUGACACUAAGGGACGAAAGCGUGGGGAGCGAAAGGG